rnacentral:lncRNA from 1 species
CUCACACCUAACUGAGGUCUUAGAGCAGAAUGAGGUAGCGUGGCUGGUGAGGGAAUGGUCACAUGCUCUGUAUUCUCAGAGAUAUGUUAUGAAAGUGUCUCCAGCCCUCCCUUUCUACAAUCAAGCCAAAUUAGUUUCUGUUGGUGUCGAGAUAGACCACAGCUGAAAAUUCCCCAGCUGUCCGUGAACAGAUCACCUGGAACCAGCCAAUUAAGAAAAACUGAUGAUUUUGGCUUAAAUAUCCUUUAAUCAAGACACUGUUUCUCACUCCCCUGACUCUCCCCUCUUGCCCUGAGGUUUUUUUGCCUUUAUAAUCUUUUCUUCCCUGACCCCUCAGAGCACACUUGUAUUUUAUUUAUACUAGGGGCUGUGUCUCCCCAAUCUAUAGAUAAUUUUUUUUUUUAAAUGAAACUCUUCCGUUUUUCUUUCACAACUAUUGUGGUCUUUUGUUAAGAUUUCUUGCUUUCUUUUUUUUUGAGACAGGAUCUUGCUCUCAGCUUGCCCAGGCUGGAGUGCAGUGAUGAAAUCAUAGCUCUGCAGUCUCAAACUCCUGGCCUCAAGUGAUCUUCCUGCCUCAACUUCCCAAAUAGCUGAGACUACAGGCAUGAGGCACAACACCUGGCUAAUUUCUAAUUUUUUUUUUUUUUUUUGCAGAGAAGGGGUCCUGCUAUGUUGCCCAGGCUUGUUUCAAAUUCCUGGCAUCAAGUGACCCUCCCGCAGUGCUGGGAUUACCAAUGUGAGCCACUGCAUCUGGCUCUAUGUCGUGAACAUUUUUUGAUGAUGAGGAUGCGAUCUGAAGGGGACCCCAAGCUCCUUUUCUGUGCUACCUGGACCAAUGCAUCGGCACCUGUGAGAUUUCUUUCAGCUCAGCCGCCUUCACAGCUGCAUUGGGUAGAAAUCAGAAAAAAAUAUUGUAAGUUCCCUUCAAAUGGGGAUGUAUGGAUUGCAGUGGUAUUCCAGGGUGGCCUCUGA